rnacentral:rRNA from 1 species
GACGAACGCUGGCGGCGCGCCUAACACAUGCAAGUCGAACGAGAGAUGAGGAGCUUGCUCUUCAAAUCGAGUGGCGAACGGGUGAGUAACGCGUGAGGAACCUGCCUCAAAGAGGGGGACAACAGUUGGAAACGACUGCUAAUACCGCAUAAGCCCACGGCUCGGCAUCGAGCAGAGGGAAAAGGAGCAAUCCGCUUUGAGAUGGCCUCGCGUCCGAUUAGCUAGUUGGUGAGGUAACGGCCCACCAAGGCGACGAUCGGUAGCCGGACUGAGAGGUUGAACGGCCACAUUGGGACUGAGACACGGCCCAGACUCCUACGGGAGGCAGCAGUGGGGAAUAUUGCACAAUGGGGGAAACCCUGAUGCAGCGACGCCGCGUGGAGGAAGAAGGUCCUCGGAUUGUAAACUCCUGUUGUUGAGGAAGAUAAUGACGGUACUCAACAAGGAAGUGACGGCUAACUACGUGCCAGCAGCCGCGGUAAAACGUAGGUCACAAGCGUUGUCCGGAAUUACUGGGUGUAAAGGGAGCGCAGGCGGGAGAACAAGUUGGAAGUGAAAUCCAUGGGCUCAACCCAUGAACUGCUUUCAAAACUGUUUUUCUUGAGUAGUGCAGAGGUAGGCGGAAUUCCCGGUGUAGCGGUGGAAUGCGUAGAUAUCGGGAGGAACACCAGUGGCGAAGGCGGCCUACUGGGCACCAACUGACGCUGAGGCUCGAAAGUGUGGGUAGCAAACAGGAUUAGAUACCCUGGUAGUCCACACCGUAAACGAUGAUUACUAGGUGUUGGAGGAUUGACCCCCUCAGUGCCGCAGUUAACACAAUAAGUAAUCCACCUGGGGAGUACGACCGCAAGGUUGAAACUCAAAGGAAUUGACGGGGGCCCGCACAAGCAGUGGAGUAUGUGGUUUAAUUCGACGCAACGCGAAGAACCUUACCAAGUCUUGACAUCCUGCGACGCACAUAGAAAUAUGUGUUUCCUUCGGGACGCAGAGACAGGUGGUGCAUGGUUGUCGUCAGCUCGUGUCGUGAGAUGUUGGGUUAAGUCCCGCAACGAGCGCAACCCUUAUGGUCAGUUACUACGCAAGAGGACUCUGGCCAGACUGCCGUUGACAAAACGGAGGAAGGUGGGGAUGACGUCAAAUCAUCAUGCCCUUUAUGACUUGGGCUACACACGUACUACAAUGGCGUUAAACAAAGAGAAGCAAGACCGCGAGGUGGAGCAAAACUCAGAAACAACGUCCCAGUUCGGACUGCAGGCUGCAACUCGCCUGCACGAAGUCGGAAUUGCUAGUAAUCGUGGAUCAGCAUGCCACGGUGAAUACGUUCCCGGGCCU